rnacentral:rRNA from 1 species
ACUCCUACGGGAGGCAGCAGUGGGGAAUAUUGGACAAUGGGGGCAACCCUGAUCCAGCCAUGCCGCGUGUGUGAAGAAGGCCUUUUGGUUGUAAAGCACUUUAAGCAGUGAAGAAGACUCCAUGGUUAAUACCCAUGGACGAUGACAUUAGCUGCAGAAUAAGCACUGGCUAACUCUGUGCCAGCAGCCGCGGUAAU